rnacentral:misc_RNA from 1 species
AACGCACGAGACCUGCGGACCUGCGGAAGGAUCAUUAGUGAACGCCCUCACGGGCUUAUAACUAUUCCAAACCUCUGCGAACCGUGCCCUUCGGGGCUAUUUUACAAACAUGGUGUAAUGAACGUCAUAUAUCAUAACAAAACAAAACUUUUAGCAACGGAUCUCU